CCUACGGGAGGCAGCAGUCGAGAAUCAUUCACAAUGGGGGAAACCCUGAUGGUGCGACGCCGCGUGGGGGAAUGAAGGUCUUCGGAUUGUAAACCCCUGUCAUGUGGGAGCAAAUUAAAAAGAUAGUACCACAAGAGGAACCGACGGCUAACUCUGUGCCAGCAGCCGCGGUAAUCCAGAGGUCUCAAGAGUUGUUCGGAAUCACUGGGCGUAAAGCGUGCGUAGGCUGUGACGUAAGUCGUGUGUGAAAGGCGCGGGCUCAACCCGCGGACGGCUCAGGAAACUGCGAGACUAGAGUAAUGGAGGGGGAACCGGAAUUCUCGGUGUAGCAGUGAAAUGCGUAGAUAUCGAGAGGAACACUCGUGGCGAAGGCGGGUUCCUGGACAGUAACUGACGCUGAGGCACGAAAGCCAGGGGAGCGAAAGGGAUUAGAUACCCCAGUAGUC
rnacentral:rRNA from 1 species